UACAGAGGGGGCAAGCGUUGUUCGGAAUUACUGGGCGUAAAGGGCGCGUAGGCGGCCUGCUAAGUCGAACGUGAAAUCCCCGAGCUCAACUCGGGAACUGCGUCCGAUACUGACAGGCUUGAAUCCGGGAGAGGGAUGCGGAAUUCCAGGUGUAGCGGUGAAAUGCGUAGAUAUCUGGAGGAACACCGGUGGCGAAGGCGGCAUCCUGGACCAACACUGACGCUGAGGCGCGAAAGCUAGGGGAGCAAACGGG
rnacentral:rRNA from 1 species